GUCAGCAGACAGUCAGCAGCAGACCCUCCCUCCGAGACCCUCCCACCUCCUGGACAGCAUCCAUUGUGAAGCUGCAUUCUUAGUGAGCUGUCCAGGAGGUGGGAGGGUCUGGGAGGGAGGGUCUGCUGCUGAUUGGCUGGAAUGU